UGCCCCGUGGCUGAGUUGGUUACAGCGUCCGACUGUUAAUCGGAAGGUCGUGAGUUCGAGCCUUACCGGGGCAG
rnacentral:tRNA from 1 species